rnacentral:rRNA from 1 species
UACGGAGGGUGCAAGCGUUAUCCGGAUUCACUGGGUUUAAAGGGUGCGUAGGCGGAUAAGUAAGUCAGUGGUGAAAUCUCCGAGCUUAACUCGGAAACUGCCGUUGAUACUAUUUGUCUUGAAUAUUGUGGAGGUAAGCGGAAUAUGUCAUGUAGCGGUGAAAUGCUUAGAUAUGACAUAGAACACCAAUUGCGAAGGCAGCUUACUACACAACGAUUGACGCUGAGGCACGAAAGCGUGGGGAUCAAACAGG